ACGAAGGGGGCUAGCGUUGUUCGGAAUUACUGGGCGUAAAGGGCGCGUAGGCGGCUCUGUGCGUCGUGCGUGAAAGGCCUGGGCUCAACCCAGGAAUGGCGCUCGAUACGACAGAGCUAGAGUGCAGGAGAGGAUGGUGGAAUUCCCAGUGUAGAGGUGAAAUUCGUAGAUAUUGGGAAGAACACCGGUGGCGAAGGCGGCCAUCUGGACUGCAACUGACGCUGAGGCGCGAAAGCGUGGGGAGCAAACAGGAUUAGAUACCCUGGUAGUCCACGCCGUAAACGAUGUGCGCUAGACGUUGGUGGACCUAGUUCGCCAGUGUCGCAGCUAACGCAUUAAGCGCACCGCCUGGGGAGUACGGCCGCAAGGUUA
rnacentral:rRNA from 1 species